UAGGAAAUCUUCCGCAAUGGACGAAAGUCUGACGGAGCAACGCCGCGUGAGUGAAGAAGGAUUUCGGUUCGUAAAACUCUGUUGUUAGGGAAGAAAAAAUGUAUAGUAACUAUAUACAAAAGAGACGGUACCUAACCAGAAAGCCACGGCUAACUACGUGCCAGCAGCCGCGGUAAUACGUAGGUGGCAAGCGUUGUCCGGAAUUAUUGGGCGUAAAGCGCGCGCAGGUGGUUUAGAAAGUCUGAUGUGAAAGCCCACGGCUCAACCGUGGAGGGUCAUUGGAAACUAAUAAACUUGAGUGCAGGAGAGAAAAGUGGAAUUCCUAGUGUAGCGGUGAAAUGCGUAGAGAUUAGGAGGAACACCGGUGGCGAAAGCGGCUUUUUGGCCUGCAACUGACACUGAGGCGCGAAAGCGUGGGGAGCAAACAGG
rnacentral:rRNA from 1 species